rnacentral:lncRNA from 1 species
GUUGCAGCAGUUGCAGGCAACUCAGAAGGAGAGAGAGGGAUUGCCAUCCCUGAGUGGGUGGCUGUCUUCUCUGCUCCCAGUGUCUCCAUGUUUUUAUCACCUAGUGUUGGUUUUGACAAGAGACAGAUGCAGUUGCACUGAAGAAGAGCUAGCCCCAGAGUUUUUCUUAGGAAGACAAUCUCAUGGGCAAAGUCCCUUGAUUACACCUGUUGUGGGUAAGACAAUUUCAUGGGCAAAGCCCCUUGAUUACACUAAAUGGGAACCCACAGCACUUGAGCAAGGAGACUCUUGUCUAUGUGCUUGGGUUUCUUGGUAUUUUGUAUUGGAAGUAGGGUUGGGAUUCACAGGACCCAAUCUGAGGGCACAUCACUCAGUGGCGCCUCCUCUGAAUUCACAAGGGAAAGUCACCCUCACUGCACACAGGGCUGCACAGUCCUCAUAGCUGUGGCCCUGCCCUAUCACACAUUCUGGCCCACUGCUGGCCCUUAGUUCUGACCCCACUCCAUGAGUCCUCAGGGAACUUUCAUCAUUGCCAGGUUGUGGUCAUUACAGAUCACAAAGUGAAAUUUAAAAAUGCUCAUAAAUUGCCGAUGGGGAGACUUGGCCCAGUGAGUACAGAGCCCCAGCAGUCCUGGGCCUGAGAGCUGGGCACAGCUCCCAAGAUUUAGGGUCCCUCCUGGGCAGGACAUAGAUACUUCCCCAGGGCUUCUGAGAUCUGGCCUCUGGGCUUUAUUUUAAAAGUGGGGUUUGUUCGCAUUUUCAUGGCAGGUAGAUGUCACAACAACUUGUGGGAUUUGGGGUAUGUGGACCCAGUGUCUUGACUGUGGAUUCCUUUUUUUCACAUUUAAAAAAAAUACUUUUAUUUGUAGAUAGACACAAUAUCUUUAUUUUAUCUUUAUGUGGUGCUGAGGAUCGAACUCAGUGCCUUCCACAUUCAAGGUGAGUGCUCUACUACUAAGCCACAUCCCCAGCUCUCUUUCACAUUCUUGAAGCUGAUCUUCUUCCAUCUGUCACUGGGCAGGAUUCUGUAGAAAAUGCAAAUGAGUUGUGGAACUAGUUAAGGAGAUAAGACUAACAUUUCACCAGAAAUUCAUACAGAUAUCCUCAUACAAUUUUGAAACCUAAUGGAUAUGAACCAUUAGGAUUUUAAAUGGACUUGCCAUGAUCCACACUUUUGAUAUGAAAUAAUUUCAAAUAUACUUUCUGCCCCCAAUGGGAAGCAGGAUCCUAGGUUUCUAUCGCUGCAUUCUGUGUAUCACACUGUGUUCUGACAUGUGACUGAAAUGACCCAUUAUUACAUCAAAUGUGAAUUUGGAGCACUUCUUUAAAUAGACCUGUUGAAAGCAAACCAUCUGUAUGCAUUUAUGAAUAAAAGAAAAUCAGAUUUAAUUCCAUGUAAUGAUGAUGUCAUGAAAAUAAUCCACUUUUAUAUUUUCUUUUAGCGAAAGAUCAAAAUUCUCAAUUUGAAAACUGUUGAAGAUAUUUAUAAAAUUCUUAGAAUUUGAGAUAAAAAAUAAAAACCUCUAUUUUCCUGUGCUAC